rnacentral:lncRNA from 1 species
AGAUCGGCACUGCACUUGACAGAUCUCUGCUUUUACUGUUUAGUUGGGUUUGGUUUUUAGGUCUGUGUUUAUAUUUUUACCAUGCUAAUGGUUUGGUCUAGACCUUGUGGGUCUUCUGGUGCUUCAUUGCUGUUCAUUUUAGCAGAUUCCUCACACUUAUAUCCUAGGCAGGCCUUGAACUCAAAGCAUUCCUCCUGCCUCAUCUCCCCUAGUGCUAGCUAGCAUUACAUACAGGUACAUCUGGGCCCCACUUCCUUGUACAGCUCCCUGAGCUUUCUCUCCACGCAGCUUUAUCCUCUCUGGACUCUGCCUGUGAACUACAGCCAUCUAACUUCCGGGAAUCUACUGCUGACACCUGGCUACACCAGACCAUAGGGCUGCUGUACCCCAGUUCCUCGUGGUGUUGGUGGACACUGCUCUAGCAGUACGUUGGCUUCCUUGGGUUCUUUGCUCAGGGUUCUAGCUCAGUGCAGCCUGUUGUCCCUCACUGAAAACUCCUUUGCAUAUUCCUUCCACUUUUCUGUUGUCCCUCACUGAAAACUCCUUUGCAUAUUCCUUCCAUUUUUCUGUUGUUUUUUGUAAAAGAUUACUACAUAGAGUAAUUAAUCUCCUAGGGCAGAAACAGGAGUGUUCCAAUGUUAGGUUCUAUACGUACAAAAUGGAGUCAGUGUUCAGAUGCUGAACACUUCUUUCCUGGAUGCCUGCAGGCAUCUCAAUGCUUACUCAUUCUUAGAUUUAAAAUCCUAAUUGUAUUCCUGAGUACCAUCACUAGUACUAUCUUUUCAUAAUCAAGACAUCCCCCUGCAAUGUUUCAGCUGAAUGGUAGAACACUUACCUAGAAAAUUUUUCCUUAAGUGGGGUGUGGUUUGGAGGCUAUGGUUUUGGAUAUGCAGAAUACUUGUUUUAUAAGCCUCUCUAUCAGCUAUGCUUUCUUUCUUCAUUAGUAUUUUAAUUGAUAAUCAUGAUUGUAUACAUUUAUGAAGUCCAUCUUGUGACCUACAGUUCCCUGUUUCUCUUUUUCUCAGUACCUAGCUUCUGGUAAUUAUCAUACUACUCCCAUCUUCUGUGAGUGUAACUUCUUAAAAUUACAACAUGCAAGUAAGAUAUUUGGCUUUCUGUGACUUAUUUUACUAAGUGUAAUAUAUUCUGGACUUGUAUUAUCAUGAAUAGUUGAAUUUUCUUUCUCUUAAAGCUGAAUGUGUUUGUUUUCAUUUCAUCUGUGUUGCUUGAUAAAAUAUACUAAUAACUAAUUUAGAGGAAAGGGUAUUUAGUUUGGCUUACAUUUUCAGGGUAUAGUCUGCCAUUGUGGGGAAGCCACAGUGACAGGAGCUUGAAGCAGUUCUUAACGUUACGUCUGUAAUUGGGAAAUGAGGAAAUGAAUGCAUGCAUGCUACUUGCUUAUUUACUUAGGUGUACUCAGCUGGACUUCUCUACUCUUAUACAGUGCGGGACCUUUUGCCUAGGGAAUGGUUCCACCCACAGUGGACUGACUGAGUCUUCCCACAUUACUUAACUUAAGACAGUCUCUAAUAGACAUGCCUAUAGGUCAAGUCAAUGUAGUCUCUCACUGAGACUCCUUCCCCGGUUUUUGUGUUAAAGAAAUAAAAGUUGACUAUUGAAGUUACCCAUCACACUCCAUUUCUUGUCAAUUUGACAUACCAAACAUCACUUUUAAGCCAUAACCUUCCACAUCUUGUCCCCAAAGUCUCAUUUUAAAUAGAAUGUAAAUGUAGCCCAACUUUAAAAGUCUAAAAUCUCUAAACUAUGGGCCCCUGAAAAAUUAAAAACAAUUUACAUACUUCCAAUAUAUGAUGACACAGGAUAGUAUUCUUAUUCCAAGAGUGAAUAAUUAGGACAUCAGGGACACAUCAGAUAAAAAGAAAACCAAAAUCCAGCAAAUAUCCCAUCCCAUAGCUCCGUGUGUAGCAUCUGGGGUUUGUCUUCUGGGCUUCAAGGAACCUUGGUAGCCCAGUCUUUCAGCUUUGUAAGACAUCUAAGGCUUCAGCUUCACUAUCACCAUUGGCCUCUCAAAGCCUCGUUGCAGGAACCUGAUCCUGCUACACAGAGCCAGCCUCAGCUGCUCUCCAUGAGCCCCUCAAUCUUGCAUCUUUCAUGCCUUCAAACCUAGUACCAUAGGCGGGACAGUGGUGGUGCAUGCCUUUGAUCCCAGCACUUAGGAAGCAGAAGCAGGUGGGAUCUCUAGUUUGAGGUCAGCCUGGUCUACAUAAUGAGUCCCAGAACAACCAGAACUGCACAGAAAAACCCUAUCUCAAAAGGAAAAGAAUGGAAGAAAAAUCUAGUACUUCCUGGAACUGAAACUACAGAUGAUUGUGAGCUGCCGUGUGGGUGCUGGGAUCUGCAAGAGCAGCCAGUGCUCUUCACCACAGAGCUGUCUCCAGUGCUGAGCCUUUUCCCUUAAUACAGUUUCAUUACAUUUAUUUAUUUGGGGGUUGGUCAGAGGGCAAAUUGCAAGAGUUAGUUCUCUCCUUUUCUCUUAUUGAGAAAAGGGUCAUGCUGAGCUUAUCAGACUUGGUGGCAAGUUCCUUUGCCCUCUGACACAUCUCUCUGGCCCUCUUGGAGAGCUUUUGAAAAUAAGCAAUCUUUUAGGAAUGAUUUAGAUUUAUAGGAAAAACCAUAAUCCUAAAAACAAUCCAAAGAACACCCAUUUUCUGACCUUUACUCAAAUUCAUCUUUGUUAACAUUUUGUACUCUUUGGAAGUACUGGUUGUCUCUGUCUGCCUGUGUAGCCACAUAAUUCUACUUCUGUUUUUUGUUGUUGUUGUUGUUGCUGUUGUUGUUUUUUGGUUUUGGUUUUGGUUUUCGAAAUAGGGUUUCUCUAUGUAGCCCUGGCUAUCCUGGAACUCACUCUGUAGACCAGGCUGGCCUCCAACUCAGAAAUUCACCUGCCUCUGCCUCCCAAGUGCUGGGAUUAAAGGGGUGCACCACCACGCCCGGCCUUAUAAUUCUACUUCUGACUCACUGAGGGAAGUUACAGCCAUGGUUUCUUGCCCCUAAGUACUUAAGUACACUUUUCUUAAGACUAAGAAUAUUCUGUUCCAUGCUGCAAUUUGCUUACAAAUUUUUAUUCUCUUUAGAACUAUGUCAUAUAGAUGUGCCAUAAUUCAAGUAGUUUUCUGUUAAUAUAUUAGCUUUUUGUUUGGGGAGAAAAAGCUAAAGAAGUCAGCUAGCU